GCUCGCCGCCGCCCAGCUCCCGGGGCUUCCUUCGCCGGCCGGAGGCUUUGGGCUGCGCUGUGAAGCUGCUUCCGAAGGCGCCGGUGGGUAGGGCUGUGCUCUGUAAGCCUCACGAGACCGCUGGAGGAGUACCGACCACUGAAUUUUGUGCGGCUGCUUCCGUGUCCGCGAUGGCUAACCUCAGUGGUUUUCAGCACAGGUUUGGAAAGUUGGAUCUGUGACCUUUCCUGGUUUCCUGUGACAGCAGAAAGCAACCCAAAGAGAAUGGAGAUGAAGAAAAAAGUGGGUUUACCUACCAAUCUGCCUUCUAGGAUCAUAACACUGGAAAAUUGGAGCUUCAUGUGAACAAUUAUCUCCUAGCAGAAGAAAGCUUUUCACAUCUCAUCUGAUUAAUCCUGAAAUAUAUUAGGUUCGGAUCCUGGGCGAGGACCUACUCACCACUCAUCAGGCCAUGCUGAGGCAGGAUCGCACAUAGAAGAACCAGAAGGACCUACAACUAGGAUAUACAACUAUGCACUGGGGCUUUGGGGAGAAAGAAGAAAAAAGAGGAAGACUGGCAACAGAUCUUGUUAGCUCAGGACCAAUAUUCCAAAAAAAAAACAAAAAAAAAAGGGAAUGAAAUGUACUACCUUUCAUUUUUUUUUUUUUUUUACAUUAUAUAAGUUCAAGUAUACAUCAUUAUAUUUCGAUUUCUGGAUAGACUACAUCAUGUUCACUACCCAAAGUCUAAUUGCCAUCCGUUAUUGUACACAUGUGCCCUUUUAUGCCUUUCACCCCGCUUUUUAAGAGUGAUCUAUUUGCAUACUGAAAAACCCAUAUCACACUGAUGGUAAUUCUAAAAUAAAA